GAUGAACGCUAGCGGCAGGCUUAAUACAUGCAAGUCGAGGGGCAGCAUGACUGUAGCAAUACAGUUGAUGGCGACCGGCAAACGGGUGCGGAACACGUACGCAACCUACCCAAAACUGAGGAAUAGCCCGGGGAAACCCGGAUUAAUACUUCGUAACAUAAUUGAAUGGCAUCAUUUAAUUAUUAUAGCUCCGGCGGUUUUGGAUGGGCGUGCGCCUGAUUAGGUAGUUGGAGGGUAACGGCCUACCAAGCCAACGAUCAGUAACUGGUGUGAGAGCACGACCAGUCACACGGGCACUGAGACACGGGCCCGACUCCUACGGGAGGCAGCAGUAAGGAAUAUUGGUCAAUGGACGCAAGUCUGAACCAGCCAUGCCGCGUGAAGGAUGAAGGUCCUCUGGAUUGUAAACUUUCUUUUAUAUGGGACCGAAACCCUCGGUAUUCUUCUGAGACUGACGGUACCAUAAGAAUAAGCACCGGCUAACUCCGUGCCAGCAGCCGCU
rnacentral:rRNA from 1 species